CCAUUGGGAGCCCUGUGAUCCAUUCAUUAGCUGACUGUGAGCAUCCACUUCUGUGUUUGCAUUAGGUAUGAGGGACAGGGGGAGUGAGUACAAGGACAGACGACUUUCGAAUGGGCUGCUACAUAUCUGGGAGGAGCUAGAAACCAAGGGCUCUACAUACUCCCAGGAAUUUAUCAGGGUGACCCUAGCUAGUACUCCUAGCAGUGGGAGAUAUAGUCCCUGAACCUGCCAUUUUCCAUAAUCAGGCAGUGGAAGGAGUGGGAGACCAGCCCAAUCACCAAAGUUUUAACCUACAAUUCGUCCCACCUGCAAGAUGUGCGGUGAUAAAGGUGGAGCAGAGGUUGAGGGGAUGCUCAGCUAAUGACUUGGUUAAGCUUGUGGUCCAUGACAAGAAGAGCCCACCCCUGCUACUGUGAUGAUACUCUGCUGUACUUGCACACAGGUGCCUAGCAUAACUGCCCUCAGGGCGGCUUACCCCAUAACUGAUGGAAACAGGUGCAGUAACCCACAACCAAACACUAAGUAGAGCGUGGGGAAUCCUGUGGAAGAGAGGGAGGAAGGAUUGAAGGAGCCAGAAGGGUCAACUAAACUGGACCCACUGGGGGCUCAUAGAGACUAAACUGUCAACAUGAAAGUAUGCAUGAGAUGGACCUAGGCCCCCUGAUCAUAUGAAACAGUUGUGCAGCUAGGUCUUCAUGUGGGACUCCUAAAGUGGGAGCAGGGGCAGUCUCUGACUACAUUCCCUGCCUUUGGAUCCAUUUCCCUUAAAUGGGCUGCCUGAUGUAGCCUAAAUAGGAAAAAGAUGCCCAGUAGGGUAUCUGUGAGGUCCUGCCCAGUCUGAUCUUCAAGACGACUUCUAGGACAGCCAGCAAUAUAGAAAGUGACUUGGUCUCAAAAAAGCAAACGAGGAAGCAAACGAGCAAAGAAAUCUUCAACAUUUUAAGCCAUCAGAUCAACGAUCAACGCAAAGUAACUUUGAGAUUCUCUUACCUGGUCAGAAUGGCCAAGACAAUGAAAACCAACAAGAGCUUAUAUUCCUGGAUAAGAGAGGGAUACACCUCAUUCUUAGUAGAUAUAUCCACCCCACCCUCACUAUCUUAUCUACUCACUAGCCUUACUAACUCACCCUGAGUAUCAGCAGGCUCUCCGGUCUUGCCAAGAUCCUUCCUGGUGGUUCUGAUUAAGUGAGGUUUGGAGAAUCAGCUGUGGUUCACAAGAUACCAGGCCACUAGAUGAAACCUUUGCUUUGCUGUGAUACUUGAUGCUGGUCACUGGAGCGGAGAAACUUUCAGUGAUCAAGAAAAAAACAAAAAACAAAACAAAAAACCAAGCAGGGGCUCUAGAGAUGGCUCAGUGGUUAGCGGCACUGGUUGCUCUUCCAGAAGACCUGGGUUCAAUUCCAAGCACCUACAUGGCAGCUCAAAAAUUGUCCAUAACCAGUUCCAGGACAUCUGAUAACCGCACCCAGGCAGACAGACAUGCAAGCAAAACACCGAUGCAUAUAACAUCAAAGAUAAAACAUAGGUGAGCGGGCACCGGAGGAGCGGCGCAGGGCUGGCGGGGGGGUGGGGCUUCAGGGGCUCUGGGGCCCGGCAGGUUGCUUCAGACAAGCACUGAUGUCAGCCUGGUGUCUUCAGGACGCGUUUCUCAUGAUCGGGAGCCAUAAGACCACCAUCUUCACUGAAGUCAAGGAGUCGAGCACGGUGUUCGAGCUGAAGCUUAACGUCCAGGGCAUCCCUAAGCAGCCGCGGGAGAAGCAGAAGCUAUACAAGGACCAACUCCUUCAUGACAGGAAAACUCUGAGUGAGUUUGGCGUCACUAGUCAGACAGCACAGCUCCUGGCCCCAGCCACGGUGGGCCUGGCCUUCUGAGCAGAUGACGCCCUGGAAGCUCUGCGCAGCCACCCCUUUUCUAGUCCUCUGGAGCGUCCAUAUGUGACGAAGCCACAGGAUUCUGGGGGCAGUGCCAAUGAACAAGCUGUGCGGUGAGGCCCCAGGCCCAUCUACUAGAGACCCGUUCCCCCAA